rnacentral:rRNA from 1 species
CCUACGGGUGGCAGCAGUGAGGAAUAUUGGUCAAUGGGCGCGAGCCUGAACCCGCCAAGUCGCGUGAGGGAAGACGGUCCUAUGGAUUGUAAACCUCUUUUGUCGGGGAGCAAAAGACGCCACGCGUGGCGUUCCGAGAGUACCCGACGAAAAAGCAUCGGCUAACUCCGUGCCAGCAGCCGCGGUAAUACGGAGGAUGCGAGCGUUAUCCGGAUUUAGUGGGUUUAAAGGGUGCGCAGGCGGAAGAUCAAGUCAGCGGGAAAAUUGAGAGGCUCAACCUCUUCGAGCCGUUGAAACUGGUUUUCUUGAGUGAGCGAGAAGUAUGCGGAAUGCGUGGUGUAGCGGUGAAAUGCAUAGAUAUCACGCAGAACUCCGAUUGCGAAGGCAGCAUACCGGCGCUCAACUGACGCUCAUGCACGAAAGUGUGGGUAUCGAACAGGAUUAGAUACCCGAGUAGUC